rnacentral:rRNA from 1 species
GACGAACGCUGGCGGCGUGCUUAACACAUGCCAGUCGAACGAAGAGCGAUGGAAGCUUGCUUCUAUCAAUCUUAGUGGCGAACGGGUGAGUAACGUGUAAUCAACCUGCCCUUCAGAGGGGGACAACAGUUGGAAACGACUGCUAAUACCGCAUACGAUCUAAUCUCGGCAUCGAGGAUAGAUGAAAGGUGGCCUCUACAUGUAAGCUAUCACUGAAGGAGGGGAUUGCGUCUGAUUAGCUAGUUGGAGGGGUAACGGCCCACCAAGGCGAUGAUCAGUAGCCGGUCUGAGAGGAUGAACGGCCACAAUGGGACUGAGACACGGCCCAGACUCCUACGGGAGGCAGCAGGGGGGAAUCUUCCGCAAUGGACGAAAGUCUGACGGAGCAACGCCGCGUGAGUGAUGACGGCCUUCGGGUUGUAAAGCUCUGUUAAUCGGGACGAAAGGCCUUCUUGCGAAUAGUGAGAAGGAUUGACGGUACCGGAAGAGAAAGCCACGGCUAACUACGUG